rnacentral:rRNA from 1 species
UACGUAGGGUGCAAGCGUUGUCCGGAAUUAUUGGGCGUAAAGAGCGUGUAGGCGGCCCGAUUAGUCCGCUGUGAAGGUCCAGGGCUCAACCCUGGAAUGCCGGUGGAUACUGUCGGGCUAGAGUCCGGAAGGGGCGAGUGGAAUUCCUGGUGUAGCGGUGAAAUGCGCAGAUAUCAGGAGGAACACCAAUGGCGAAGGCAGCUCGCUGGGACGUGACUGACGCUGAGACGCGAAAGCGUGGGGAGCAAACAGG